AUAAGAAGAGCAGGAUUUCACCGGCUUGAGAUGGUCGUCUUAACAGAGCCUUGCUCUGUUGUUGCUCGUGAUCAGCACCUGGCAUCUGCUGCCAAAGACUCUGCCCACAUCAGAGACUCUUGAUGUCUGUCCGGAACAGGCCAGGACACUCUCAUCCACGUUGCUCUCAUUGGAUUGGCUCAUUAACCCUUUCUUCUAUCCCCUUCUCACUCUUUUUUUUUCAAAGCCACACUUAUGCUCUGUUAUCCCCUUUCUCUCGAUGUUAAAUGUUACUGUUCCAUGUGGAAUGUUUAAUAUAGCAUUUAUAUAUUGAUUAAGUUAAGGACACUGCUGUGUAUGGUUUGCAAUAUUGACUGACUUGCAGAGUGGCUUGAGCCUGAGUGCUCACAGCUCUGACUACCAGUUGAACAGGACGUACUAAGGAGAAUCACUUCCUUGGGAACUCCAUGUAACUUGUGGCUUUUGUGAUUGAAAUAGCAUCAGUAAAAGUCUGACCCUGUGGAAAGACACAAAUGUGCGUGGACCUGGCUAUGUCUGACUUUGUGCUGCUCAGGACACUCUCUGUAACCAAAAGUGAGAGAGCCUGGAAGACCUCAGGGGGUCAGAUGUUUGAAGGAGCUGCUGAGUAUCCUGGCAGGCAGCAGAGCCUCACCAUCAGUUUGCUGCAUGGAAGGCUGUGUGCCUCUAUUUCCCUGCUAUUUGUUGAACUCCCUUGAGCUCCGGUCCUUCCUAAGUGAGAGAGAUGAUACCAAUAGCACCAACCUGAGAGGGCUGGGGAGAUGUUUGAAGGAAAGCUUGGCUGGGGAGCUGUAGCUGGCCUGUGGUACAUGCUUGGUAACUGGUGGCCAGGAGACCCGGGUGUGUGUCCUGGGACUGUCACACUCUGCUGACGAGGGUAUUGAAAGUCCCCACUCAAAGACACAGAAUCUUCCUGACCAAGUGUAGAAUAACUGGGAGAUGAAACAGGAAGCUCUAUGACACACUUGAUCGAAUAUGACAGACACCGAAAAUCACGACUCAGCCCCCUCCAGCACCUCUACCUGUUGCCCGCCGAUCACAGCCGGAAUGCAGCUGAAAGAUUCCCUGGGGCCUGGUUCCAACCGCCCACUGUGGACUCUGAGGCCUCUGCAUUUGCGGGUGGUCUGCCUGUGAUAUUUUGGUCAUGGGCUGGUCUGGUCGGUUUCCCAUUUGUCUGGCCAGUCUCUAUGUGUCUUAAUCCCUUGUCCUUCAUUAAA
ensembl:lncRNA CYTOR cytoskeleton regulator RNA